rnacentral:rRNA from 1 species
UACUAGAGUAGCACUCGCAUAUCAAUAAGCGGAGGAAAAGAAACUAACAAGGAUUCCCCUAGUAACGGCGAGUGAAGCGGGAAGAGCUCAAAUUUGAAAUCUUAAAGGGUUUCCCUUUACGAAUUGUAGUUUAAAGAAGUGUUUUCUGUUGGAGUUUCGGUAAAAGUUCUUUGGAAUAGGACAUCAUAGAGGGUGAGAAUCCCGUAUUUGACCGUCACUUUCCAGCUGUGUGAUACACUUUCAAAGAGUCGGAUUGUUUGGGAAUGCAGUCCAAGAUGGGUGGUAGAUUUCAUCUAAAGCUAAAUAUUGGCGAGAGACCGAUAGCGAACAAGUACCGUGAGGGAAAGAUGAAAAGAACUUUGAAAAGAGAGUUAAACAGUACGUGAAAUUGUCAAAAGGGAAGCGUUUGACACCAGUGUUGUUUAGUUGAAAAUCAAUUCAAUAGUUUUUGAUUCUAAGUAGUAUUGACUUCAUCAGCUUGCUGCUUUCUUCUCAGAAAUUAUUGAAUGCACUUUUCAUUUAACAAGUCAACAUCAAUUUCUUUGUUGUAAAAGGGUAAGAGGAAGGUGGCUUGCGCUUCGGCUCAAGUGUUUAUAGCCUUUUAUCUCUGCAAUCGGAGAGAUUGAGGUCUGCAGCGUAGAUCCUUCGGGGUUAGAUACAUUGGUGCUAAGCUAUAGCCUUGUAUAGACAACUUGUUGACUAUGCUCAGUCAUGUAGCUUACUCGCUGAUGCUAUUUUACCUACGCUUAGGAUGUUGAUAGUCACAGCGUGUAC